AGUGAACGCUGGCGGUAGCCUAACACAUGCAAGUCGAGCGGGCAUAGCAAUAUGUCAGCGGCAGACGGGUGAGUAACGCGUGGGAACGUACCUUUUGGUUCGGAACAACUGAGGGGAACUUCAGCUAAUACCGGAUAAGCCCUUACGGGGAAAGAUUUAUCGCCGAAAGAUCGGCCCACGUCUGAUUAGCUAGUUGGUGAGGUAAUGGCUCACCAAGGCGACGAUCAGUAGCUGGUCUGAGAGGAUGAUCAGCCACAUUGGGACUGAGACACGGCCCAAACUCCUACGGGAGGCAGCAGUGGGGAAUAUUGGACAAUGGGCGCAAGCCUGAUCCAGCCAUGCCGCGUGAGUGAUGAAGGCCCUAGGGUUGUAAAGCUCUUUUGUGCGGGAAGAUAAUGACGGUACCGCAAGAAUAAGCCCCGGCUAACUUCGUGCCAGCCGCCGCCGUAA
rnacentral:rRNA from 1 species